GAAAUGCGAUAAGUAAUGUGAAUUGCAGAAUUCAGUGAAUCAUCGAAUCUUUGAACGCACAUUGCGCCCCCUGGUAUUCCGGGGGGCAUGCCUGUUCGAGCGUCAUUUCACCACUCAAGCCUCGCUUGGUAUUGGGCGACGCGGUCCGCCGCGCGCCUCAAAUCGACCGGCUGGGUCUUCCGUCCCCUCAGCGUUGUUGAAACUAUUCGCUAAAGGGUGCCGCGGGAGGUCACGCCGCAAAACAACCCCAUUUCUAAGGUUGACCUCGGAUCAGGUAGGGAUACCCGCUGAACUUAAGC
rnacentral:misc_RNA from 1 species